UUUGUACUUCCUUCAUUCAAAAAUACUUGUGAGAUAAAUGGAUGCAUUUAGAUGUAUUUUAGUUCUAGAUACAUUCAUUUGAUCCAUUUCUUCAAUAAGUAUUUCCGGACGGAGGGAGUGUAAA
rnacentral:pre_miRNA from 2 species